rnacentral:lncRNA from 1 species
CACACCUCACGUAGUAGCUCUUUCUCCUGAUGCUUCUAUGUUUUAAUCUCCUGUCUCGCUUAACGUCUGUUUUUACUUUCCAGUUGAGCGUCAUUUCAUUCCUGGGAAUUAAGAAAUGGCGAGGCCAAGACAUCAUUGCCAAGCUCACAGGCACCAUAACUGCUUAUGUAUCAAGCUGUACCAUCCGACUGGGAGCUCCCUAUUCAUCUUUGCAACUCCAGCACCUGACCCAGUGUGGGCACAUGAUAGGCUCGUCAUCUUUCAAGGUCUGACUUUGCCGGACUCUUCUCUAUUGCUGAGUCCUGUGCUAAUCAUCAUCAACCUCAGGAGGAAGAGGUUCUGGUCCUAGUUCUGAUCCUAAUUGAGUUUACUUGAACAAAUCAUCCAGGAUCUAUGAUUCUGUUUCUUACCUGGAAAACAAAAUGAGGCACUUUGACUAGAAAAUCUUCAAAUUAUCUUUUAACUCUAAAACUCAAUCUUUAAUAUGCAAAUAUGACUGAUUUAGGCACAUUAAAGUAUAUAAGCACAUGGAUGUUACUAAACAGAAACAGGUCUUAUCUAUUCAUUAAAACAGACCCAACAGGAUUUCUAAAUGGAUAUAUUUUGAACAACAAAAUUACAUCUCUUUACAGGGAGAUCAAUAGAUCAUUUUUUAUUGAAUACAAUUGGCCACCUUCUUUCUCUGCAUUCCAUUUAUGUCCAGAUUAGGAAGUGUACUCCUUGUGCAACUGAAUAUAUUCAUAUAAAGUUGUUUUAAUUCAGAUCUUUGAGUCAUGAGACCCCAGCAUGUUUUUCAUCCCUAAGUUAUUCAAAUGCAUAGCUGUGACUGAGAAACAUCAAUUUAAAGUGAAAUAAAGCUGUUGGGAUAUUAUCA